rnacentral:rRNA from 1 species
AGCGAACGCUGGCGGCAGGCUUAACACAUGCAAGUCGAGCGGGCACUUCGGUGUCAGCGGCAGACGGGUGAGUAACACGUGGGAACGUACCCUUCGGUUCGGAAUAACGCUGGGAAACUAGCGCUAAUACCGGAUACGCCCUUUUGGGGAAAGGUUUACUGCCGCAGGAUCGGCGCGCGUCUGAUUAGCUAGUUGGUGGGGUAAUGGCCUACCAAGGGGACGAUCAGUAGCUGGUCUGAGAGGAUGAUCCGCCACACUGGGACUGAGACACGGCCCAGACUGCUACGGGAGGCAGCAGUGGGGAAUAUUGGACAAUGGGCGCAAGCCUGAUCCAGCCAUGCCGCGUGAGUGAUGAAGGCCUUAGGGUUGUAAAGCUCUUUUGUCCGGGACGAUAAUGACGGUACCGGAAGAAUAAGCCCCGGCUAACUUCGUG